UUCUUGCAGAUCUGCUUUGCAGUCGUUUAGGCGGCGUGUUACGUAUGCUAAUAUGCGUUACGAUAACGUUGUUGGGUGGAGUACGUCUUCUAUAAGGCGUCGCACGGAGUUGCCGAAGCUCAAAGGUUUAUCAGGAGAUGGCAAAUAUCCAUACAUUGUAAAUGUUGAAACCCCAAAAGUUUGCAGUCCUCAAUUAUAUGUGUUG